rnacentral:rRNA from 1 species
UACGGAGGGUGCAAGCGUUAUCCGGAUUCACUGGGUUUAAAGGGUGCGUAGGAGGGCAGGUAAGUCAGUGGUGAAAUCCUAGGGCUUAACCCUAGAACUGCCGUUGAUACUAUCGGUCUUGAAUACCGUGGAGGUGAGCGGAAUAUGUCAUGUAGCGGUGAAAUGCUUAGAUAUGACAUAGAACACCAAUUGCGAAGGCAGCUUGCUACACGUUUUAUUGACUCUGAGGCACGAAAGCGUGGGGAUCAAACAGG